GGGCCAGUGGCUAAGCCAGGUAUAGCGACAGGCUCUUAACUUGUAGAUCUCGGGAAUUCCCCGAUUUCAAGGACUGGUCGAGGGUUCUGGUUUGCUGAUUUCCAGCAGGUCGCCCAAAAAUCCCUCCUGGCCCGCCA
rnacentral:tRNA from 1 species